GGAGGGGGUUAGCGUUGUUCGGAAUUACUGGGCGUAAAGCGCGCGUAGGCGAUUAGAAAGUUGGGGGUGAAAUCCCGGGGCUCAACCUCGGAACUGCCUCCAAAACUGCUAGUCUAGAGUUCGAGAGAGGUGAGUGGAAUUCCGAGUGUAGAGGUGAAAUUCGUAGAUAUUCGGAGGAACACCAGUGGCGAAGGCGGCUCACUGGCUCGAUACUGACGCUGAGGUGCGAAAGUGUGGGGAGCAAACAGGAUUAGAUACCCUGGUAGUCCACACCGUAAACGAUGAAUGCCAGUCGUCGGGUAGUAUACUAUUCGGUGACACACCUAACGGAUUAAGCAUUCCGCCUGGGAGUACCGGUCGCAAGAUUAAAACUCAAAGGAAUUGACGGGGGCCCGCACAAGGCGUGGAGCAUGUGGUUUAAUUCGAAGCAACGCGCAGAACCUUACCAACCCUUGACAUCCUGUGCUACAUCCAGAGAUGGAUGGUUCCCUUCGGGACCGCAGUGACAGGU
rnacentral:rRNA from 1 species